UUAGCAUGGAAUAAUAAAAUAGGACGUGUGGUUCUAUUUUGUUGGUUUCUAGGACCGCCGUAAUGAUUAAUAGGGACAGUCGGGGGCAUCAGUAUUCAAUUGUCAGAGGUGAAAUUCUUGGAUUUAUUGAAGACUAACUACUGCGAAAGCAUUUGCCAAGGAUGUUUUCAUUAAUCAGGAACGAAAGUUAGGGGAUCGAAGACGAUCAGAUGCCGUCGUAGUCUUAACCAUAAACCAUGCCGACUAGGGAUCGGACGGUGUUAUUUUUUGACCCGUUCGGCACCUUACGAGAAAUCAAAGUGCUUGGGCUCCAGGGGGAGUAUGGUCGCAAGGCUGAAACUUAAAGAAAUUGACGGAAGGGCACCACCAGGGGUGGAGCCUGCGGCUUAAUUUGACUCAACACGGGGAAACUCACCAGGUCCAGACACAAUGAGGAUUGACAGAUUGAGAGCUCUUUCUUGAUUUUGUGGGUGGUGGUGCAUGGCCGUUCUUAGUUGGUGGAGUGAUUUGUCUGCUUAAUUGCGAUAACGAACGAGACCUUAACCUGCUAAAUAGCCCGUAUUGCUUUGGCAGUACGCUGGCUUCUUAGAGGGACUAUCGGCUCAAGCCGAUGGAAGUUUGAGGCAAUAACAGGUCUGUGAUGCCCUUAGAUGUUCUGGGUCGCACGCGCGCUACACUGACGGAGCCAGCGAGUACUUCCUUGUCCGAAAGGUCCGGGUAAUCUUGUUAAACUCCGUCGUGCUGGGGAUAGAGCAUUGCAAU
rnacentral:rRNA from 1 species